CGAAAGCCGACGGUUCUCCGCCCAGGUCUUUAAGGCCCUGCCUACCCCCGGGCCGGAUGCAACUCUGCCCAGCUCUGAGAAGAGGGCAGGAUGCAGGUUGUAAGCCUAGUGAUCCACAAGAGGCUGAUUUUUCACACAUUAACCUCACUGUCUUCACAUCAAUACCAAGAGGCUCAGAAGCACACCAAGUCUGCUCCGUUGGAGGCUGCCAGAGGAUACCCCUGACACAACAGAGUGAUCAGUUGUGGAAGGGCUGUGUUAUUUCUAACCCUCACACUAAUUUUGCAAGAUAGGCCUGCCCUCAGGACACCGAAGCUGCGCUGGUGGCCACCCGUCCCCCGACGACUUUUCUGCAAGUCUAGAGGGAAAUCGGCACCUCCCAGGAGGUUUGGGGCCCCUCUCUCCUCUCUAAGUGUCCCCAGGCCGUUCCCCAGCCCUUCGCUCUGACAGCGGGCCCGCAGCUGUCCAGAUACUGCCUCUGGAAUACGGGAGAAAGCGGGGACACUGAAUAAAAGGGAACCCCAGCCCCGCCUGGCCUAGUCCCCUCUGUCUCAUUCACCUCACAAGGCCGCCCCCACGGAGGACACCGAUUCUCCGGAGAGGAGGCAGCCCCAAACUGUCCCCGGAGCCCUGAACAACGAGGUUGGCACCGGCAGGUGUUGACUUGCUGAAGCUUUGCACAACAGCUACUGUCUGUAAGCGUGUGCUCGGCUGCCUGGAUGGCAGAAUAACCCUAGAACCCUACCCCGUGGUGGAAAGAGCAGCUGCUUUGUAAGGCACUGACUCGCACAGACCAACCGAUCGUGAGGCGGACAAGGGAGAUCACAGUGCUGUCUGCUCUGGGCUGGGCCUGGAGCGAUCUUCCAUCCCCGGGCCAAAAGGCCAUGGUCCCUAUUCUCUUAGCAGCACUGCCAAGAGAUGGCUGAGGGGAAUGGUUGAGGAGGCCUGUUCUGGAGCGCCACCACUUACCAGCUGUGUUACUUGAACUAAUGAACCUCCUAGAACCUCACUUUUACCCGAUAAAAUGAGGACCAUGAUGAUGUGAAAUGCAUAGACCCAUUGUAUUAAAACUAAUCAACAAAAAAUCGUGAAUGGCUCCUACGUGUUAGGAACAAAGUUCAAGUCCUAGCUAGCCACAUGCUGAGACCUUAGGCUCUUUUUCCAAAUUGCGAUAAAAUAUACAGAACAUAAAGUUUACCAUCUUAACCAUUUUUAAGUGUACAGUUCAGUGGC
rnacentral:lncRNA from 1 species